rnacentral:rRNA from 1 species
ACGAACGCUUGCGGCGUGCCUAAGAAAUGCAAGUCGAGCGAGGGGAGCAAUUCCCUAGCGGCGGACGGUCGCGUAACACGUAAGCAACCUGCCCGAAAGACCGGGACAACAGUUCGAAAGGACUGCUAAUACCGGAUGUGCCCAGGAGGAGACCUCUUCUUCUGUGUAAAUCACUUGUUGGCUUUCGGAGGGGCCUGCGGCCUAUCAGCUAGAUGGCGAGGUAAUGGCUCACCAUGGCGACGACGGGUAGCUGGUCUGAGAGGAUGGUCAGCCGGACUGGGACUGAGAUACGGCCCAGACUCCUACGGGGGGCAGCAAUUAGGAAUCUUGCGCAAUGGGGGCAACCCUGACGCAGCGACGCCGCGUGGAGGAGGAAGUCUUUCGGGAUGUAAACUCCUUUUGACCAGGAAGAAGACAGUGACGGUACUGGUCGAAUAAGCCCCGGCUAACUACGUGCCAGCAGCCGCGGUAAUACGUAGGGGGCGAGCGUUGUCCGAAGUUACUGGGCGUAAAGCGCGCGUAGGCGGGGGAGCAAGUCCGCUGUGAAAGCCCGGAGCUUAACUCCGGAGGGUCGGUGGAUACUGCUUCUCUUGAAGAGGCUAGGGGGAGAUGGAAUUACCGGUGUAGCGGUGAAAUGCGUAGAGAUCGGUAGGAACACCAGUGGCGAAGGCGGUCUCCUGGAGCCCUCUUGACGCUGAUGCGCGAAAGCUGGGGAGCGAACGGGAUUAGAUACCCCGGUAGUCCCAGCCCUAAACGAUGGAUACUAGGUGUCGGGGGUAUCGACCCCUCCGGUGCCGCAGCUAACGCAGUAAGUAUCCCGCCUGGGGAGUACGGCCGCAAGGUUGAAACUCAAAGGAAUUGACGGGGGCCCGCACAAGCGGCGGAGCAUGUUGUUUAAUACGUCACUAACCGUAGAACCUUACAGGGUUUGACAUCCGCUGCCAUCCGGUGAAAGCCGGCUUCCCCGCAAGGGGACAGCGAGACAGGUGUUGCAUGGCUGUCGUCAGCUCGUGUCGUGAGAUGUUGGGUUAAGUCCCGCAACGAGCGCAACCCUCAUCCCAUGUUGCCAGCGCGUAAUGGUGGGAACUCUUGGGAAACUGCCGGGGUAACUCGGAGGAAGGUGAGGAUGACGUCAAGUCAGCAUGGCCCUUACACCCUGGGCUACAAACAUGCUACAAUGGACGGUAGACAGAGGGAUCCGAGGGGGUGACCCGGAGGCAAUCUCAGAAAUCCGUUCUCAGUUCGGAUUGCAGGCUGCAACUCGCCUGCAUGAAGCCGGAAUCGCUAGUAAACGCAGAUCAGCGAAGCUGCGUUGAAUACGUUCCCGGGCCUUGUACACACCGCCCGUCACGUCACCUGAGUUGUCUGCACCCGAAGUCGGUGGGGUAACCGCAAGGAGCCAGCCGCCGAAGGUGUGGGGAGCGAGGGGGACG